rnacentral:misc_RNA from 1 species
GUGAAUCAUUAAACUUGGUGCCUGUUCGAAUUUACACUUCGUUCAGCCCUUUUUUAUCACACUAUUUCACACACACUUUGUGCACUCGUACUCCAUUUUUAUUUUAAACACUUUGUGUUUUACAUUUGUAAAUGUUGAUGUGUCUGUUUUUAUGUUAAAUACAAUAA